rnacentral:piRNA from 1 species
UGGCAUGUGUUCGUUUUACUUU